rnacentral:rRNA from 1 species
CCCUUAGAGUUUGAUCCUGGCUCAGAUUGAACGCUGGCGGCAGGCCUAACACAUGCAAGUCGAGCGGUAGAGAGGUGCUUGCACCUCUUGAGAGCGGCGGACGGGUGAGUAAAGCCUAGGAAUCUGCCUGGUAGUGGGGGAUAACGCUCGGAAACGGACGCUAAUACCGCAUACGUCCUACGGGAGAAAGCAGGGGACCUUCGGGCCUUGCGCUAUCAGAUGAGCCUAGGUCGGAUUAGCUAGUUGGUGAGGUAAUGGCUCACCAAGGCGACGAUCCGUAACUGGUCUGAGAGGAUGAUCAGUCACACUGGAACUGAGACACGGUCCAGACUCCUACGGGAGGCAGCAGUGGGGAAUAUUGGACAAUGGGCGAAAGCCUGAUCCAGCCAUGCCGCGUGUGUGAAGAAGGUCUUCGGAUUGUAAAGCACUUUAAGUUGGGAGGAAGGGCAUUAACCUAAUACGUUAGUGUUUUGACGUUACCGACAGAAUAAGCACCGGCUAACUCUGUGCCAGCAGCCGCGGUAAUACAGAGGGUGCAAGCGUUAAUCGGAAUUACUGGGCGUAAAGCGCGCGUAGGUGGUUCGUUAAGUUGGAUGUGAAAUCCCCGGGCUCAACCUGGGAACUGCAUUCAAAACUGUCGAGCUAGAGUAUGGUAGAGGGGUGGUGGAAUUUCCUGUGUAGCGGUGAAAUGCGUAGAUAU